rnacentral:rRNA from 1 species
CCAGACUCCUACGGGAGGCAGCAGUGGGGAAUCUUCCGCAAUGGGCGAAAGCCUGACGGAGCAACGCCGCGUGAUCGAAUGAAGGCCUUCGGGUUGUAAAGAUCCGUUGACAGGGACGAAUAAGCAAUGCGAAUAGUUUUGUGUAUGACGGUACCUGUUUAGAAAGCUCCGGCUAACUACGUGCCAGCAGCCGCGGUAAUACGUAGGGAGCAAGCGUUAUCCGGAUUUACUGGGUGUAAAGGGCGUGUAGGCGGGCUUGUAAGUCAGAAGUGAAAUCUGGGGGCUUAACCCCCAAACUGCUUUUGAAACUGCGGGUCUUGAGUGAUGGAGAGGCAGGCGGAAUUCCCAGUGUAGCGGUGAAAUGCAUAGAUAUCACGCAGAACUCCGAUUGCGAAGGCAGCAUACCGGCGCUCAACUGACGCUCAUGCACGAAAGCGUGGGUAUCGAACAGGAUUAGAUACCCGCGUA